rnacentral:rRNA from 1 species
CCUACGGGUGGCUGCAGUGAGGAAUAUUGGUCAAUGGACGGAAGUCUGAACCAGCCAUGCCGCGUGCAGGAAGACGGCUCUAUGAGUUGUAAACUGCUUUUGUAAAAGGGUAAACCUGAAUCCGUGUAUUCAGCUGAAUGUACUGUACGAAUAAGGAUCGGCUAACUCCGUGCCAGCAGCCGCGGUAAUACGGAGGAUCCAAGCGUUAUCCGGAUUUAUUGGGUUUAAAGGGUGCGUAGGUGGGUUGAUAAGUUAGUGGUGAAAUGUUGGGGAUAAACAGGAGAAUUGCAAGUGAUAAGGGGAGUGGUGAGUACAUUUGAGGUAGGGGGAAUUCGUGGUGAAGCGGGGAAAGGGUUAGAUAUCACGAAGAA